rnacentral:rRNA from 1 species
UACGAAGGUCCCGAGCGUUGUUCGGAAUCACUGGGCGUAAAGGGAGCGUAGGCGGCGCGGUAAGUCAGAUGUGAAAUCCCGGGGCUCAACCCCGGAACUGCAUCCGAUACUGCCGUGCUAGAGGAUUGGAGAGGUAGCUGGAAUUCUUGGUGUAGCAGUGAAAUGCGUGGAUAUCAAGAGGAACACCCGUGGCGAAAGCGAGCUACUGGACAACUCCUGACGCUGAGGCUCGAAGGCCAGGGUAGCGAAAGGG